AGGGUUCGAUCAUGGCUCAGGAUGAACGCUAGCGGCAGGCCUAACACAUGCAAGUCGAGGGGUAACAGGGAGAAGCUUGCUUCUCCGCUGACGACCGGCGCACGGGUGAGUAACGCGUAUGCAACCUACCUCUUACUGGGGUAUAGCCCAGAGAAAUUUGGAUUAACCCCCCAUAGUACCAUGAUAUCGCAUGAUAUUUUGGUUAAAGGUUACGGUAAGAGAUGGGCAUGCGUCCCAUUAGUUAGUUGGUGAGGUAAUGGCUCACCAAGACUUCGAUGGGUAGGGGUUCUGAGAGGAUGAUCCCCCACACUGGUACUGAGACACGGACCAGACUCCUACGGGAGGCAGCAGUGAGGAAUAUUGCGCAAUGGACGAAAGUCUGACGCAGCCAUGCCGCGUGCAGGAUGACGGCGCUACGCGUUGUAAACUGCUUUUAUUUACAAAGAAACCUCGGGACGUGUCCCGAGCUGACGGUAGUAUUUGAAUAAGCACCGGCUAACUCCGUGCCAGCA
rnacentral:rRNA from 1 species